CAAGCGGGCCAGGCGGCCGCGCACGGCGUGCGAGGAAAGUCCGGGCUCCACGAGAGCAAGAUGCCAGCUAACGGCUGGGCGGGGCGACCCGACGGAAAGUGCCACAGAAAAGGAAACUCCCGUGCGCCACGGCGCGCGAGAAAAGCUGAAACGGUGCGGUAAGAGCGCACCAGUGCGUCGGCAACGGCGCAGCUUGGCAAACCCCAUCUGGAGCAAGCGCAAAUAGGAACGCGUCAUCAGGCUGCUCUCGCCGAAGCGUUCGGGUUGCGUGCUAGAGGCGCGUGGCGACACGCGUUCGAGAUAAAUGGCCGUCCAACGACAGAACCCGGCUUAUCGGCCCGCUUGCCAG
rnacentral:RNase_P_RNA from 1 species